UGGACUGCAAUUCCCAGUGUCUCUCACAAUAUACUCACUUGAUGCAGGCGGGGGCAGAUUGGCCUGGUUGCCUUGACGAGUGUCAAACAGGAUGACUGAUGAAUUUGGAACGGGCCUUGGUAUUUGAUUUGGAUCAAUUUUUGAUUGUGUAGCUGCAGGAGAACCGGUUUGACCAAUGGCAGCUGAGAUGGUAGUCAUCGAUUGGUUAGGUGGAGGUGGCGGCAUCCCAAACAUUCUAGGCGGCUGCAUUUGACCAGAAAUAGGUGGAGGAGCUGUUGCCUGACCAGGUUGCAUUGGCCAUGUUGGUGGUCCAAAUGCGGAACCUGAAGAUGGGGAUACUCCUUGAGAUGCCGGCUGAAAUGGUGAUGCCGGUUGUCCGGGAGGACCUGGUGGAGCAGAAAAUUCAGGGCCACCUGGAACAGAAUGCAUAAAUGGAGCCCGGGCAGAUGUUGUCAUUGGUGGUGGACCAACAAAUGGCGGAGGACCUUGUGGUGCAUUGACUGCUGAAGGAAAACGUGGCCCACCAGGGAAGUUCUGCACAAAAGCUGGAGGACCAUUACUCAACGUACCACUCUGAGCAUUUGGUGGAGGCAUGCUGGGGCUACUAACAGAAGGGGGAAAGGCUGCAUUUGGACGUGCACCAAGUGGAGGAGCACCAAAUGGAGGCGUAACUGAACUACUGGACAAACCUGGGGAAACAACAACGCUAGAAGGUG
rnacentral:misc_RNA from 1 species